rnacentral:rRNA from 1 species
CUCAGAUUGAACGCUGGCGGCAUGCCUUACACAUGCAAGUCGAACGGCAGCACGGAGCUUGCUCUGGUGGCGAGUGGCGAACGGGUGAGUAAUAUAUCGGAACGUACCCUAGAGUGGGGGAUAACGUAGCGAAAGUUACGCUAAUACCGCAUACGAUCUAAGGAUGAAAGUGGGGGAUCGCAAGACCUCAUGCUCGUGGAGCGGCCGAUAUCUGAUUAGCUAGUUGGUAGGGUAAAAGCCUACCAAGGCAUCGAUCAGUAGCUGGUCCGAGAGGACGACCAGCCACACUGGAACUGAGACACGGUCCAGACUCCUACGGGAGGCAGCAGUGGGGAAUUUUGGACAAUGGGCGAAAGCCUGAUCCAGCAAUGCCGCGUGAGUGAAGAAGGCCUUCGGGUUGUAAAGCUCUUUUGUCAGGGAAGAAACGGUGAAAGCUAAUAUCUUUUGCUAAUGACGGUACCUGAAGAAUAAGCACCGGCUAACUACGUGCCAGCAGCCGCGGUAAUACGUAGGGUGCAAGCGUUAAUCGGAAUUACUGGGCGUAAAGCGUGCGCAGGCGGUUUUGUAAGUCUGAUGUGAAAUCCCCGGGCUCAACCUGGGAAUUGCAUUGGAGACUGCAAGGCUAGAAUCUGGCAGAGGGGGGUAGAAUUCCACGUGUAGCAGUG